rnacentral:misc_RNA from 1 species
UGGAGUGUCAAUGAGGUAGUCUCCACUAUCCCUAGAAACAUGGCGGCUUCUUAAACUUCCUGUUGAACUUCUAACCCCCAUUAAAGGACCUGACAUGUUCACCAAUGCUGGAAGGAGCUGACCUGACCGUCCNNNNNNNNNNUUCAACUCUGGAGGCAUUGGACUUAAUGGGCCCGAGGCACUUCGCCCUGUCACACCUGCUGUUCGCCAACUCAGGCUUCCACUAGUAUUUCUGAGGGGACCAUCAAGGGAACCACGGAC